rnacentral:misc_RNA from 1 species
GAUGAAGAACGUAGCGAAAUGCGAUAAGUAAUGUGAAUUGCAGAAUUCAGUGAAUCAUCAAAUCUUUGAACGCAUCUUGCGCUCCUUGGUAUUCCGAGGAGCAUGCCUGUUUGAGUGUCAUUUUGAACUCUCAAAGCCCACGUUUUGACGUGGCUUUGGACUUGAGGGCUUUUGCAGGCUUUUGAUACAGAAAGCCUGCUCCCUUGAAAAUCAUCAGUGGUAUCUGGAGCGGAAACCGCUAGGUGUUGAUAACAUUCAUCUAUGCCUUUGGGUAUGCCGCGUAAAAUGUGCUGCUUCCACCCACCCCAUGCUCUUUGACAAACUUGACCUCAAAUCAGGUGGGACUACCCGCUGAACUUAAGCAUAUCAAUAAGCGGAGGA